UUGUCAAUCUAACAAGAAAAAGUGUUAAAUCAUGUGUAAAGGGCUCUGUACAAAAAGUUUUGUAAGCGUACAACAGGUUGCAUUUAUCCAGAUUAAAGAAAGGUUGUUAUAAGGAAAUCAACCACAAAAAAAUUGAAUAGAGAAGCGAAUUUCAAAAAUCUACAUAGAAAACAUGUUAGGAGAUUAUUAUCGUACAAAACAUGGGGAGAGAAAUUAUCUUGGGAAUUUUCACAUAACUUGUAAAUCAGUUAUUUAAGGAUUAUGGUCUCUAAUAAUACUGAUAAAAUUAUGACUAUAUCAGUAGAGUUUCCUCUGCAAGAAGUAACUGCAGAAUAAGAAAUAAAUCCUUAGGGAUUUGAAAGGUUCCAAGCUUAGGAAGUUCUACAAAUGAGAAAACAAGUAAAUAUUUUCCAUUCACCUUGAAUUCCAUAGGAAUUAAUUGGUGGACAACCAAAUUAUACGCAACAAAGAUUUGCAGCAGUCUCUAAUCAUCCGAGUGUGCCAACAAGAAGAUGACACCCAAAAAGAGUGGCAUUUGUACAUAAUCUGAAAAAAAAAAUUGUCUUCUUAUAAUGACAUUAAUAACUCAAAUGUAUCUUUUCUGUUAAAAAUUAUCUGUUUUAGAAAAAUAGGAGAUAGAUGCUUCAUUAAAACUCUGUGUAGGCAUGUCUAAUAUUCCCAGGGGACAUGGGGAACUAAUUGGCAAGCAGGUUAUGCUGAGCAAUCUGUGACAACCAACCUCUGGCAAGUAUUCUGAGGGAAUGACUGUCUCCACUUCUCCCAUGGCUACCAUGGUACAGGGAGGCAGUAGCUCCUCUCAGCUCUUUCAUGUUCUCAGCUUGGAUCUAUGUCUGUUCAAUGUAAAUAGUAGUCUCAUAUCUCCAUGCAAUGAUUAUGUUUUCUCCAACUGGAAUUUUGUACUAAAUAGCUUUUAUUUCUCCACAUCUUGUGAAGAAUGCAUUAUGGAUGAGUGAACAUACCUUGAGGAACUGAAGUUGAAUGAUUCUUGAAACACAAAAAGAUACCAAAAUAUACAUAUUUACUGUUAAUUUAAUUAACCUUAUUUUCGCAACCUUCAAUUAACCCUAAUGAGAAUAUUUCAUAUAGCUAAACAGAUUAGAAGAGAGCUCCAGAUUUGUUAGCUCAACUAAGGAAAUCAAUCACAGACUUAACAAGAUCAUUCCAUACUAGUGAGGUAGAGAAUCCACGAGUGAGAAAUUUGGGAAGUACAGUCUUAAUGCAAGAUGAAUAGAAUGGUCCACCAAGAUAAAACUAAAUAGGGCACUAAUGGUUCAGAUGAUUAAAAGGAAAGGAAUCUCUAUUAGACUACCUUGGAAAUUCUUGCAAUUUCACAGUAUUUGACCUAUGCAAUGCAUUCAAUGCCAAUGAUUAUCAGAAUUUGCAUGUGCUUUUUAUGUGGACAUUUCUCACCAAAGAUGCAAGACUCGCAGAAAACUCACCAAGUCGAGAAAAACUUGCAAGUUUUUCUGCUCGGUGAGUCUUUGCAAGUUUAACUCAUAGAAAAACUUGCCCGAUUUUUUGAAAAAUCUUACAGGUUUUUUGUCAAUUUUUUCGGAAAAACUUGGAGAGUCUGACAAAAAGACUCAGCCGCAGCAAAUAAAAUCGUCCGGGACAUGAAAAAGGCAACUUCAUUUUGUUUUUUUACUUCUAUUUGCUCCUCCAGCUCUUGGGAUGUGUUUGGGAUGUGUUUGCAAUGUGAUUGCAGCCAAUUGGAGCUAAAAAAUGGAGAUUUGAAGAGGAUUUGGAGUGAAUUUGAAGAGCAAAUUGGAUUUCCAGGCAAGGAAGGAGGGGGGUGGAUUUAGAAUCACCUUGGAUGACAUUGAGGAGCAUGAGGAGGUUGACGAUGGAGAGGAGUCAUUGCUAGUGCCAGUAGGAUCUGCAUCCAGGAUGGAGGUCGAGCCACAGCCUGUCAUGUUGAGCAAUGUGGCAAAGCUGCAGCGGAAUCCUAGGACGAGAGAUACCUCUCCCCUAAUUUUUACUAGAGCUGGGAAGAGGAAGAUGUAAAAUGUUUUGAUGUAGUGUUUACUUUUAGUUUAUAAAGAAAAAUUGCUAUUUUCAUUU